UGCCAGCAGCCGCGGUAAUACGGAGGGUGCGAGCGUUGUUCGGAAUUACUGGGCGUAAAGCGCGUGUAGGCGGUUUGUUAAGUCCGAUGUGAAAGCCCUUGGCUCAACCAAGGAAGUGCAUCGGAUACUGGCAGACUUGAGUCUCGGAGGGGGUGGCGGAAUUCCCGGUGUAGAGGUGAAAUUCGUAGAUAUCGGGAGGAACACCUGUGGCGAAGGCGGCCACCUGGACGAGUACUGACGCUGAGACGCGAAAGCGUGGGUAGCAAACAGGAUUAGAUA
rnacentral:rRNA from 1 species